rnacentral:rRNA from 1 species
UGUUGUUAGAGAAGAACAAGGAUAAGAGUAACUGCUUGUCCCUUGACGGUAUCUAACCAGAAAGCCACGGCUAACUACGUGCCAGCAGCCGCGGUAAUACGUAGGUGGCAAGCGUUGUCCGGAUUUAUUGGGCGUAAAGCGCGCGCAGGCGGUCUUUUAAGUCUGAUGUGAAAGCCCCCGGCUUAACCGGGGAGGGUCAUUGGACACUGGAAGACUGGAGUGCAGAAGAGGAGAGUGGAAUUCCACGUGUAGCGGUGAAAUGCGUAGAUAUGUGGAGGAACACCAGUGGCGAAGGCGACUCUCUGGUCUGUAACUGACGCUGAGGCGCGAAAGCGUGGGGAGCAAACAGGAUU